rnacentral:rRNA from 1 species
UAAGCGACUAAGCGUACACGGUGGAUGCCCUGGCAGUCAGAGGCGAUGAAGGACGUGCUAAUCUGCGAUAAGCGUCGGUAAGGUGAUAUGAACCGUUAUAACCGGCGAUUUCCGAAUGGGGAAACCCAGUGUGUUUCGACACACUAUCAUUAACUGAAUCCAUAGGUUAAUGAGGCGAACCGGGGGAACUGAAACAUCUAAGUACCCCGAGGAAAAGAAAUCAACCGAGAUUCCCCCAGUAGCGGCGAGCGAACGGGGAGCAGCCCAGAGCCUGAAUCAGUGUGUGUGUUAGUGGAAGCGUCUGGAAAGGCGCGCGAUACAGGGUGACAGCCCCGUACACAAAAAUGCACAUGCUGUGAGCUCGAUGAGUAGGGCGGGACACGUGGUAUCCUGUCUGAAUAUGGGGGGACCAUCCUCCAAGGCUAAAUACUCCUGACUGACCGAUAGUGAACCAGUACCGUGAGGGAAAGGCGAAAAGAACCCCGGCGAGGGGAGUGAAAAAGAACCUGAAACCGUGUACGUACAAGCAGUGGGAGCACGCUUAGGCGUGUGACUGCGUACCUUUUGUAUAAUGGGUCAGCGACUUAUAUUCUGUAGCAAGGUUAACCGAAUAGGGGAGCCGAAGGGAAACCGAGUCUUAACUGGGCGUUAAGUUGCAGGGUAUAGACCCGAAACCCGGUGAUCUAGCCAUGGGCAGGUUGAAGGUUGGGUAACACUAACUGGAGGACCGAACCGACUAAUGUUGAAAAAUUAGCGGAUGACUUGUGGCUGGGGGUGAAAGGCCAAUCAAACCGGGAGAUAGCUGGUUCUCCCCGAAAGCUAUUUAGGUAGCGCCUCGUGAAUUCAUCUCCGGGGGUAGAGCACUGUUUCGGCAAGGGGGUCAUCCCGACUUACCAACCCGAUGCAAACUGCGAAUACCGGAGAAUGUUAUCACGGGAGACACACGGCGGGUGCUAACGUCCGUCGUGAAGAGGGAAACAACCCAGACCGCCAGCUAAGGUCCCAAAGUCAUGGUUAAGUGGGAAACGAUGUGGGAAGGCCCAGACAGCCAGGAUGUUGGCUUAGAAGCAGCCAUCAUUUAAAGAAAGCGUAAUAGCUCACUGGUCGAGUCGGCCUGCGCGGAAGAUGUAACGGGGCUAAACCAUGCACCGAAGCUGCGGCAGCGACGCUUAUGCGUUGUUGGGUAGGGGAGCGUUCUGUAAGCCUGCGAAGGUGUGCUGUGAGGCAUGCUGGAGGUAUCAGAAGUGCGAAUGCUGACAUAAGUAACGAUAAAGCGGGUGAAAAGCCCGCUCGCCGGAAGACCAAGGGUUCCUGUCCAACGUUAAUCGGGGCAGGGUGAGUCGACCCCUAAGGCGAGGCCGAAAGGCGUAGUCGAUGGGAAACAGGUUAAUAUUCCUGUACUUGGUGUUACUGCGAAGGGGGGACGGAGAAGGCUAUGUUGGCCGGGCGACGGUUGUCCCGGUUUAAGCGUGUAGGCUGGUUUUCCAGGCAAAUCCGGAAAAUCAAGGCUGAGGCGUGAUGACGAGGCACUACGGUGCUGAAGCAACAAAUGCCCUGCUUCCAGGAAAAGCCUCUAAGCAUCAGGUAACAUCAAAUCGUACCCCAAACCGACACAGGUGGUCAGGUAGAGAAUACCAAGGCGCUUGAGAGAACUCGGGUGAAGGAACUAGGCAAAAUGGUGCCGUAACUUCGGGAGAAGGCACGCUGAUAUGUAGGUGAGGUCCCUCGCGGAUGGAGCUGAAAUCAGUCGAAGAUACCAGCUGGCUGCAACUGUUUAUUAAAAACACAGCACUGUGCAAACACGAAAGUGGACGUAUACGGUGUGACGCCUGCCCGGUGCCGGAAGGUUAAUUGAUGGGGUUAGCCGCAAGGCGAAGCUCUUGAUCGAAGCCCCGGUAAACGGCGGCCGUAACUAUAACGGUCCUAAGGUAGCGAAAUUCCUUGUCGGGUAAGUUCCGACCUGCACGAAUGGCGUAAUGAUGGCCAGGCUGUCUCCACCCGAGACUCAGUGAAAUUGAACUCGCUGUGAAGAUGCAGUGUACCCGCGGCAAGACGGAAAGACCCCGUGAACCUUUACUAUAGCUUGACACUGAACAUUGAGCCUUGAUGUGUAGGAUAGGUGGGAGGCUUAGAAGUGUGGACGCCAGUCUGCAUGGAGCCGACCUUGAAAUACCACCCUUUAAUGUUUGAUGUUCUAACGUUGACCCGUAAUCCGGGUUGCGGACAGUGUCUGGUGGGUAGUUUGACUGGGGCGGUCUCCUCCUAAAGAGUAACGGAGGAGCACGAAGGUUGGCUAAUCCUGGUCGGACAUCAGGAGGUUAGUGCAAUGGCAUAAGCCAGCUUGACUGCGAGCGUGACGGCGCGAGCAGGUGCGAAAGCAGGUCAUAGUGAUCCGGUGGUUCUGAAUGGAAGGGCCAUCGCUCAACGGAUAAAAGGUACUCCGGGGAUAACAGGCUGAUACCGCCCAAGAGUUCAUAUCGACGGCGGUGUUUGGCACCUCGAUGUCGGCUCAUCACAUCCUGGGGCUGAAGUAGGUCCCAAGGGUAUGGCUGUUCGCCAUUUAAAGUGGUACGCGAGCUGGGUUUAGAACGUCGUGAGACAGUUCGGUCCCUAUCUGCCGUGGGCGCUGGAGAACUGAGGGGGGCUGCUCCUAGUACGGGAGGACCGGAGUGGACGCAUCACUGGUGUUCGGGUUGUCAUGCCAAUGGCACUGCCCGGUAGCUAAAUGCGGAAGAGAUAAGUGCUGAAAGCAUCUAAGCACGAAACUUGCCCCGAGAUGAGUUCUCCCUGACUCCUUGAGAGUCCUGAAGGAACGUUGAAGACGACGACGUUGAUAGGCCGGGUGUGUAAGCGCAGCGAUGCGUUGAGCUAACCGGUACUAAUGAACCGUGAGGCUUAACCU